AGACCGCGGAGGGUACUGGUUACAGCCUAUCCACGCCUCAGGAUAGAGACUGCAGAAAAUUGUGAAAUUUCCGGAUGAAAACUGAGUGAUCUUAAACCUGCCCCAUUCGUUGAAAAUCUACCUUAGGCUUCCCUGGUGGCACAGUGGUUAAGAAUCCGCCUGCCAAUGCAGGGAACAUGGGUUCGAGCCCUGGUCUGGGAAGAUCCCACAUGCCGAGGAGCAGCUAAGCCUGUGCGACACAACUACAGAGCCUGCGCUCUAGAGCCCACGAGCCACAACUACUGAGCCCACGUGCCAGAACUACUGAAGCCCACAUGCCUAGAGCCCGUGCUCUGCAACAAGAGAAGCCAUUGCAAUGAGAAGCACAUGCACCACAACGAAGAGUAGCCCCCGCUCGCCGCAACUACAGAAAGCCCAUGCACAUCAAUGAAGACCCAACACAGCCAUAAAUAAAUUAAAAAAAAAGCAUACCUUGGAGACUGUGGCUUCAGUCCAGACCACUGUAAUAAAGCAGAUACCACAAUAAAGCAAAUCACAUGAAUUUUUUGGUUUCCCAGUGCAUAUAAAAGUUACAUUUACACUAUACUGUAGUCUAUUAAGUGUGCAAUAGUAUUAUGUCUUUAAAAACAAUGUACAUGCCUUAAUUUUAAAAUACAUUAUUGCUAAAAAAUGCUAACCAUCAUCUGAGUCUUCAGUGAGUUGUAAUCUUUAUCAGGUGCAGGGUUUGAAAUAUUGCAAGAAUUACCAAAAUGUGACACAGAGACGUGAAGAGAGCAAAUACUGUUGGGAAA